GCUGGGUGUGGUGGUGCACACCUGUAAUCCCAGCUACUUGGGAGGCUCAGGCAGGAGAAUUACUUGAACCCAGGAGGCGAAGGUUGCAGUGACCCAAGAUCAUGCCACUGCAGUCCAGCCUGGGUGACAGAGUGAGACUCUGUCUCAA
rnacentral:SRP_RNA from 2 species